UGCCGCGAGGCCCUCCAGGCUCUGAGCUCUAAGCGCGUGCGGAGUCGCUGUCUUCUCGCCGGGAAGAGAGCAACCUUGCGCCGGUGUUCCGCACUCGCUGAACGGCUGGGACUCGGCACUGGACUCACAAAUGAAGCCACUCGCCAUGCCCGCUGGAGCUCAGUCAGACUCCCAAAGGCAGGAAAUGAGCGGCGUCAGGGCUUCGCUCCGACCGCUGGGGGCCGGCGGAAGAGCAGCCGCCGAAUCCGAAAACUGAGGGAUGGAUCACGCAGGUACGAGGAAAGGGCUGGAAUCCACGAGUCCACCGCAGAGACCACGCUCAGAAUCACUGCGCCUUGUACAUGUUUUGUCCGUGGAAUGAAUAAGCGUCAAUGUAAAAACAAGUAGUUGUCAAGAAUUAAAUACCUAUUCUGUGCUUAAUCUA